AACAGUUACUGAUACCGAAACACGGGCGUCGAGGCAACUCUACGCCCGUGUGCUUAUGUCAAGGGUAAUCCAGAAUGG
rfam:Proteus mirabilis strain HI4320, complete genome